rnacentral:rRNA from 1 species
AACGGAGGGUGCGAGCGUUGUUCGGAAUUACUGGGCGUAAAGCGCGUGCAGGUGGUCUUUUAAGUUCUGUGUGAAAUCCCUUGGCUUAACCAAGGAACGGCGCGGAAUACUGGAAGACUUGAAUACAGGAGAAGUGGGCGGAAUUCCCAGUGUAGAGGUGAAAUUCGUAGAUAUUGGGAGGAACACCGGCGGCGAAAGCGGCUCACUAGACUGAUAUUGACGCUCAUACGCGAGAGCGUGGGUAGCAAACAGG